UCCCUGGAGGACUGGUGGUUGGGCCACAGCGCUCUCACUGCUGCGGCCCGGGUUCGAUUCCUGGCCAGGGAA
rnacentral:tRNA from 1 species